GCCCAGCUGGCUCAGUGGGGACAGCACGUGGCUCUUGAUCUCAGGGUUGUGAGUUCAAGCCCCAUGCUGGGCG
rnacentral:tRNA from 1 species